rnacentral:rRNA from 1 species
GGGGUCAGUAGGUUGGUCGUGCCACCGGUACGUACUGGUCUCACUGAUCCCUCCUUCCUGAAGAACCGUAAUGCCAUUAAUUUGGUGUUGCGGGGAAACAGGACUGUUACUUUGAAAAAAUUAGAGUGUUUAAAGCAAGCUAACGCUUGAAUACAUCAGCAUGGAAUAAUGAAAUAGGACGAUCGAUCCUAUUUUGUUGGUUUCUAGGAUUGACGUA